UCGCUUUCGGUUCCCUGUGUUGCAUACCUUCGCGACGGUAUCCUGUCGGCUAGAAUCGCCCCGUUUCACCCGACGUUGCGAGUAACAUCGCGACCGAAGGCGAACCGAAAAGCAUUCAUCGCGUUCCACCCCGUUCGCGUUACGCGCUGCGGGGACCGGCCCACGAUGACGUGCUCGAAUUCUCGGAUGCGGAACACAAUGUGGGCACGAGGACGUCAAUCCUCCGUUUGCCCCCGAACAAGCGUUCUACGCUCUGUGCGAACGACGUUCUUCCUCGU
rnacentral:misc_RNA from 1 species